rnacentral:rRNA from 1 species
AAUACCUAGGGGGCGAUUGUUGUCCGAUAUUAUNGGCCAUAAAUCGCGCGCAGGCGGUUCUUUAAGUCUGAUGUGAAAGCCCACGGCUCAACCGUGGAGGGUCAUUGAAAACUGGGGGUACUUGAGUGCAANGAAAGGAGAGCGCAAUUCCACGUGUAGCGGUGAAAUGCGUAGAGAUGUGGAGGAACACCAGUGGCGAAGGCGGCUCUCUGGCCUGCAACUGACGCUGAGGCGCGAAAGCGUGGGGAGCAAACAGGAUUAGAUACCCUGGUAGUCCACGCCGUAAACGAUGAGUGCUAAUUGUUAGAGGGGUCACACCCUUUAGUGCUGCAGCUAACGCGAUAAGCACUCCGCCUGGGGAGUAGCGCCGCAAGGCUGAAACUCAAAGGAAUUGACGGGGGCCCGCACAA